UGUUGUCUCGUAUUGAACUAGAUUGUUGGAU
rnacentral:piRNA from 1 species